rnacentral:rRNA from 1 species
AUGACAAUUAGGCCCGCCCAUCAUGAGGCGGUGAACGUGGUUGCCAAGGCUGUGGUGCGCUCGCGAUCGGGCCUCGAGGAGCCAAACCAGCCGUCAGGAUCGUUCCUCUUCCUCGGCCCCACCGGCGUCGUCAAGACGAAGCUCGCCAAGGCCCUCGCCGAGCAGCUCUUCGGCAAUGAGAAGCUGCUCGUCUGCAUCGACAUGUCCGAGUACAUGGGUAGCAGCUCCGUCACUCGCCUCAUCGGCGCAUCUCCUGGUGUGGUCCUCCCGGAUGAGGUGGAGAAGGCCGACGCCUCCAUGCUCAACGUCUUCCUCCAGAUCCUUGACGACGAGCGCGUUACCGAUGGGCAGGGCCACACCGUCGAUUUCACCAACACCAUCAUCAUCAUGACCUCCAACAUCGGGGCGCACCACCUCGCCCGCGCAGCCAAGGCACUUCCGCCCCGAGCUCAUCAACCGGCUGAGCGAGACGGUGCUCUUCCGCCCGCUCUCCGGCGAGCAGCUGCAGAGGGUGGCGAGGAUGCGGCUCAAAGGCAUCGCAGCGCGCCUCGCCUAGAAGGGCAUCGGCCUCGACAUCACGGACACGGCCCUCGACAUGAUCCUCUCGCGGUCCAGCGACCAGGUGCAGAUGUACGGCAUGAGGCUAGUCAAAUGCUGCCCGCAGAAGAACGUCAUGACCUAUCUAAGAUGGUGGUGCAGGUGGAGGUGGACAACGACUGCUACGUGUCCGACGGCGUCGAUGAGGAGAAGAAGGACCUGGUGUUUGCCGUGGACAAGCAAAGUUCCAAGGAGAACGACGGCCCGUCGUCCUCUUCGACCAAGAAAAUAAAGAGGCCCCCGGCGAAGCAUCUGGUCGUGAUUGAUGAUGACAAAGACGAGUGA